rnacentral:lncRNA from 1 species
UUUUGCCUUUUAGGUGAAAGACAAGACAAAAUACGGAUCGAACCGCAAGACUUAAAUGACAUAUUAGAUGGUCCAUAUUUUGAAGGAAAAGAUGAAAGGAUAAAUGAAAUAGAAGUCAAAAGACAAGAUUUAAAAUCAAAUGGACCAUUCUUUGAAGACAAAGAAAUUUCUAUUG